ACCGUCUAUGAAGUUUUUAAAAUUCCACAAACAAAUUGAAGAUACUACAUGUGUCUUGUAAGGUGUAGUGGGCCAAAUUUGCCCGGCCCGAAUAAAAACAAUAAAUGAUAUAAAAAUCUAGAUAUCAAUAGUCCAUUAUUUACAACCCAAAAUCAAACCAAAUUAACCCCAAUGUUUCAAGACCCAAAUUACAAAUCCAUUUACAAAAUGACAUAGCCCAAUACCCCAAACGGCCCAGAAACUGAGCCCCAUUUUGGCAAACCCUAGGGCAAGGGUCUCCUUGUGCCGCAGCCCUCACUAGCAGCCAAACCACAUUGCGCCAGACAACGCCUCCAACAGCACCAGCGCACAGCCCUCGUACGCCACGCCCGUACCUCCGUACGAUGCCAGCAGACUCCGUACCUGCGAAAAAGACACACAGAACAGCAGCGAAUAGGGAAGAAGAAAAUAGCAUUUUCAUUUUUUGAUUUUUCUUUCUUUUCGGCUAUAAAGGCCAUGUAAUAGCCUAGGUGAGUUUUUUACGCAACAUAAACGCACAAUAGGCCAUACAGACACAAUCAAUACAUUUUGAAAUACAAAAAAGCAACGAGCAUUCGAAGGUGAUUCCGAUUCAUAAUUUCUGAGAUUUUUUCCUUUUCUUCUUGGCUUAGUUUCAUUCUCCCUGGAAUUUCUUUUUGUUCUUUCGCAUUUUGGGUUGUAUAAAAGAGAGAGGAAAUGAAAUCUUACCCCGUGAAUACGCCGUGAGAUAUCCUCUGAUUCGUUGAAAUCGGGGUCCGAGAGGAGUAUAAGGCGGAAAGAAAACCAUCUUGAGGCUCGAACAGGCCGAUCUCCAUUCAUUGCGGUGGAUUGGCAUGGCAGAUGGAGGGUCAAGGUUCGUUUGAGGGGAGUAAAAAUGGAGGCUAGGGUUUGGAGGUGCUGGCUUAAUCUGCUGAUUGAGCCAUUUUAUAGGACCUCAAACUGUGUCGCAUUGACAUCAAAGCCCGACCCGAUUCGAUUCCAAACCCGAUGACCCGCGUGUUUUUGCGGUGAGGGACUAUUUGCACAUUAAAUCCCUCCCUUUUGCGCCACGUUUAAAUCAAUCCAUAUUUUUAUUCCAUUUCUUUUAAUUUAGGCUUGUAUUUUGAGCUCAUUUGCAAUGGGGUCCGCACAUGUACACAGCGUUUUGGGAGUCUGGAAUAAUUUCAGUUUUGAUCCUUGCAUAUUCGUAUACAUUAUGCGCUGGCCCUUAUCUGUAUUUACAAAUUAUCCUUCCAUUUUAACGUGGUUUCAAUUAGACCCUCUCUUUUAUGUGAUUUCAAUUAUUUUUUUUAGAUUCACCUCAUGUUUUAUUUUAUUUUACUUGUGUUCAUUUACUCGUGUUCAUCGUCUAACUUGCAUCAUUUACUUAUUGUAAUUUGGGUAACUAUGCUUUCAUAUUUUGCGUAUUACCUCAUGUAAUUGUUUUCUUUAUAUACGCUAUUGUACAUAUAUAUUUGUACUUUACAUUAAAGUCAAUUUCAUUUCAUAUAUAUAUACAUUGUUAACCUUAUGUUAUUUUAUACAUGUGUUGUCUUAAAUUUAUUAUUGUAGUUUAUUACAUGGUCCUAUAUAAUAUAUUUUCUCAAUUAUUAUUAUAUACAUAUAUGUUUAUAGAUAUCUAUACUUGAUAUCUAUAUAUAUAUUAUUAAAUCUAUGUAUUUUAUGCAUGUAGUUUUUCUCUUUUUUCAUAUAUGUAAGUAUAUUCUUCAAUUCAUUAUAUAAUUUAUAAUAAAAUCAGUUUUAGCUUGCAUAUAUUUCUAUGUUUUUUACAAAUAAUUAUUUUUUAAAAAAAGGGGGGUUAUUUAUAUAUAUAUAAUUUGUAGAUCCAUUGCAUUUUUGAAGAUUAUAUCGUACUAUAUAUUUUUAUUAUUACCGUUUUUAAUAUAUUUUACACAUACUUUAAAUUAUUAUUCUAUACAUCCUCGUUUUUUUUUUAAAAAUCAAUAUUAUUCUACGUUUUGGUAUGAUUUUCGAUUUAAACAUUCAUUUUAUAAUAUUUUUUAAAAUGAUUAAGCGUAUAUCCCUAGUUUUUCCUUUUUUACAAAUAAAUUUUAAAUGCACCAAUUCAUUAAUUUGCAUGUCAUAAAGAUUUUUGGUUCAUUAGAUCGCAUUUGUUCCGACAUCGUCUUAUACCACUUUGACUUCUAAAUUCUAUUUUGUUUUGCAUACGCUCUUUUGGUUGCUUUAUAUAUGUACAUUCCUUGCGUGGCAUCCACCUUAUUGAACUGUUAAUUACUCAUCAUAUAUGAUUGAAAUUAGGCUAUAAUUCCUAGAUUAAUUAUAUUUAAUUGCUUGUUCUGCUAGUUGAUUCAUUAAGUAUUGUAUCUCGUAUGUGUAUAUUACCUCAUUCAUCGUUUUCCAUUUGAUUUUCGAAAUGCGGUUUUAUAAAAUCCAAAUUUUAUGAUUAAUCUCGUACUAUUUCAAAUUGAAUUAAUACGUCUUAAGCUAGCUCUAUAAUCAUUCAUUCAAAAAUUCUUUAAAAACGAAGGCAAGAUUCGAUGUUUGGCAAUUCGUGGAAUCGUGCCCUAACGUGUUGGGUUGCGAUUUCGCGUUUGCUCAAAAUAAUCGAAUAUCACUUCGAAAUUUCACUCACGCCUUUUAAAAUUCCUCAAAACGAAGACGAGGUUUGAUAUUUAGCAAUUCGCAGAAUCGUGCCCUAACGUGUUGGGUUGCAAUUUUGCGUUUGUUCAAAAUAAUCGGGCUUCCCUUCAAAAUUCCAUUCAUAUCUCCUAAAAUUUUUUAAAUGAAGGCAAUGUUCGACGUUUGAUAAUUUGAGAAUCAUGCUCUAUCGCGUUGGGUUGUGGUUCCUGGUUUGCUCAAAAUGAUCGAACAUUCCUUUACAUUCUCACUCAUGUUUAUAAAAAAAAUACUUAAAAACGAAAACGAUGUUCAAUGUUUGGCGAUUUGAGAAUCGUGCCCUAUCGUGCUGGGUUGCGCUUUUUCAUUGGUCUGAAACAAUUGAAGAUCCCUUCAGAAUUUCCCUCGCACUUUCUAAAAUCUUUUAAAAUAAAGGCGAUGUUCGAUGUUUGGCGAUUUGAGAAUCGAGCCCUAUCAUGCUGGGUUGCGCUUUCUCAUUUGCCCAAAAUAAUCGAAUAUCUCCUCGAAAUUUUCACACGUAUUUUAUAAAGUAAGGCAAUGGUCAAUAUUUAGAAAUUCGAAGAAUCGUACCCUACUGUGCUGGGUUUCGAUUUUUCGUUGGACUAAAUAGUUGAGCAUCAUUCUGUAAUUCUCAAAUUAUAUACCUUCGGGCAUCGAAACAAGAAAUUUUGGCAACCAAGUCGGAUCACUCAAACGUUAUAAAAGGAACCACAUUUCAAAAAACUUUUAAUUUUAGACAUAAGGACAGUAUUUAAUUGACUUGGUACCAAUUUUGGGCGUAGUGAGGGUGCUAAUCCUUCCUCAUGCGUAACCGACUCCCGAACCUGUUUUCUCAAAAGUUCGUAGACCAAAAUUAUUGUUUUAAUAAACCAAAAAUGUUUAUUUAAACUAACCUCAUUUUUAGGUGAUUCGAUCACACCAAAAUAAAAGAUCGGUGGCGACUCCAUAUUUUCAUUUUCCAAAAAGUCGAUUCCACCAUUUUUCAUUAAAAUAAUUUUUUUUUAAAAUCGUGGGAUGGUUUCGACAGCUUGGCGACUCCGGUGGGGAUUUGAACUUGAGAGUCGAGCCAUAAAAAUCGAUUAUUUACUGUCCUUUUGUUAAAAAACCGAAAAUUUAUUUUAAAAAUCAUGUAUAUUUCGAUUGCAUUUGAUUGUAUGUUUGUGCGGGCCUUGUAGAAUAGCACUGCAUUUCAUUGCAUGACCACUGUGGUUACACCUUCUAAGUGGAAGUAAGAAGCUACGCUUUCGUGAGGUUUUCACCUCCGCAUGGGCUAGUGGAUUGCUUCCGGGGUACAUCCGUACCUAUGAUUUCGUGAGAUUUUCAUCUCUGCAUGGUCAUAGGGAAAUGUAUCCCCUCGAACCGAACUCGAUCUAUAUGAGCUUAUAAUGGGUGAGGAUUGAGGAAUCUGCUGGUUCGGGUACCCAUUUUCCUAGAACUAAACCACAUAUAGUGAACCUUAGGAGCUAUCCUUGGGUGGAGCCGCGUCGAACCUUAGUACUUACCCGUACAUGCGUUAUAAUCACCGUUUAUGUGCUUGCAUUCUAUUGCUAUUAUUUGAUACUAACCGAUGUUUUGUUUUGAUUGUCUUUUUUGCAUGACAUUGCAUAUUAAAGGAGGCGUUAAUCUACAUUCAAUUACUAAGUUAGAAAAUUUGACAUGGAGAAUGAAUUUUUUAGUAAAGUCGAGGAUAAUGCGGCCGUUCGUGCUUGGUCGGAGAGGCUACAAUCUGAGAGAGGGGAUAGCUUGGCAGAAGGGUAUGUGUCGGAGCUGUAGGAUUUCACUCGCGUCAAUGUAGUACAGAAUAAGCUGCAAUAGUUGAGAGACAUUUGGGUUAGUUGGGAUGAAAGGAUCAAGCAGUUGUUUUACCAAAGUUAUGGUGACAUAUCCUACCUGCUAGACAUUAAAGUGGAUAAGCAUUUGUUCCGAGCCUUGGUGCAGUUUUGGAAUUCCGCAUAUAAGUGUUUUACCUUUGGAGAAGUGGAUUUGGUACCUACCAUGGAGGAAUAUACUACGCUGCUUAGAUGUCCAAAGAUUCAGGUCUGGAAGACUUAUGCCCGGGUUUUUAGUAAUCAGGCUUUCGUGAAGAAACUGAUGAGCAUUUCUGGGAUGAGCGAGUCUUGGGUCACUGCUCGGAUUCAGCAGAAAGGAGAUAGCAAAUGUGUCCCUUGGGAGAAUUUGCGAGAUUUGAUCUUGACUCAUCUAGACGAAAGAAAGAGGGUCGAUAUAUUUGCCUUAAGCAUCUACGGAUUAGUGAUCUUUCCUACGGCUUUGAGGCACGUGGACGAGGCGGUCAUUGACUUGUUUGAUCGUCUUGAAAAGGGAAUCACACCGGUACCGGCAAUAUUGGCAGAAACGUUCAGAUCUUUGAGCUUAUGUCAGAAGACGGGUGAGGGGCGAUUUAUUGGAUGUGCUCAACUAUUGAUGGUAUGGUUUCAUGGGAACUUUUGGAAGGUAGACAAGGUUUCCUAUCGAGUCUUUUCCAAAGGUUAUUCCCCUUUGAAAGAAGAGGUAGCUAUACAGAGGAGAAAGGAUAUCUCAGAAGAGAAGUGGAUGGAUAUUUUUCAGAACCUUAAGGAGGAGGAUAUCGAGUGGAGUGCUUAUUGGAUGGUUCCUGAUGAGAUCAUGUACCAAUGUGGUAACUUUGAUUGGGUGCCAUUGUUAGGAAUUUGGGGAGCUACCGGGUAUACUCCGUUGAUAGCCUUGAGGCAAUACAAGUCGAGGCAGUUUGUACCCACGACCUAUGGACUUGCUCAGAGUGAAUUCUCGUUUAAAGGUGCUCACUAUUAAAAGAGAGUUCGGGAGUUAUCGGAUGCUUGGAAGCAAACUUGUUAGAUGAAGAGGUUAGCCGUCGGUUCUAUGGUAACGCCCGAGUACAGCAAGUGGUUUAAGAAGAGGAUUAAUGAUAAUAUUCCUAGGCCAAGCUUAGAGAAUGCUCGGCCUAUCGGGGAACAAUUACAAGUCGCCCCAUCAGAAUUGGAGAUUAUAAAACAAGAUUUCGAGAAGAAGAGUUUGGAGUUUGGUAAGAAGAUCGAACAAUUAGAGGAAGAGAAGAUGCACCUAAGAUUAGAGGCUGAUGUCCAAAGGUCAGAGGCUGAGAAGUGGAGAAAAGGAAAAACUAAGGCUGAAGAAGAUCUAGACAGUUUGAAAAUGGACUACAAAAAGUUACGCCUAUCUAUGAGGAUUGCGGGUUUAGGUAAGACUUCCGAACAAUGGCGCCAUGAAAUUCGGGAAGAAAAAACCAAUACCGACCGGUGGGAAAGGAAAUUUCGAGAAACUCAAGCACGAAACGAAGAUUUGGAGAAAAGUCUAUCAGAAAGCAGAAAUGAGCAAGGGGAAUUAAGGGCUAGAGUGGCAGAACUCGAGAAGUCCCUACAUCAGUACCGAAACCGCAACACCGUGACAGAAUUGAGGGCAAGCUUGAGCAAAAUACAAGAAAUGAAAGGAAGAAUAGAAGAGUUAGAGGCGUCACUGCAAAAUUGUGAUAUGCGAAUCCAGUUUUUUGAGGCAAACGAGGAUCGUUGGAAGGAGCAACUUCACCAUGCGCAAGGCCAAGUUAGAAAUAGGGAUUACCUUAUGGGAGAGGCCAUAACCCAGAUCCGGGAGGUAGCGGACUACUUGCAAACUCUAGCGGUUCAGGCAGACACACUAAGCGUGAAAUAUGAGUUAGAGUCGGAGCGCGAACAAGAGCUGGCCUCAUUGCUUAGAAAAAUUAGGACUUUGAGCGUUAGAGCAAAAUUAUAUUUGUAACUCGACUUUAUGUAAAAGAUUUUAUUUUCAAGUAAAAUUUUCUAAGGGCUGUUGAAUCAAAAUUGAUGCCUCCUUUACAUUCAUGCAUUUGCAUUACAUCAUAUCAUUAUGCAUUAAAGGCCAUUAGAGUUUUCUAAUUAAUUAACUAAAAAUUAUUUCAAUAACCUGGAAACCAAUGAAAACCAACCACGCACCCCUACAGUACAAGGAAAAAAUCAAUGGAUAAGAGACUCGAGAAAUUAGAGCGGAUGCAAAAAGACAUGCAAGAACAAAUACAGUCUCAGAUGCAAGAGCAGCUAGCCAAGAUUCAGUGAGAGAUGAAAGAGCAAAUGAUGGAGUCCCAGAGGGAAAUGAUGAGUCAGUUAUCCCAAUUGUUGUUGGGAGGAACGGAUAAGGGAAAGGGCCCCAUGGACAAAGUUGAAGAAGCUAAUGAGGAUCCUCAAUACCCCCUGGCUUCACUCUGACACAUGUACCGGUGAAGCUCGAGAUUAAUCUACCGAAGCCAUCUGUCACGAUCAUACCCCAGCAGGUUCAGGCUGGAGCUUCAAUACUGAUGAAUUUCCAAACCGGCUUAGGCUCCAACUUUGUCAACAACCCGAACUAUCCGCCCAUUCCCGAUUUGGAUGAAAUUGCUGAAGAAGAAAAGGCGAGGAUGGAUUCGCAAAAACAAUUGGAAAAACGGUGUAGAUGGCUCGAAGAGAAAUUUAAAGCCAUGGAAAGCGCGGAUCAUCAUCAAGGGAUUAAUGCCAAGGACCUAAGUUUAGUCCCAGAUUUAGUCCUUCCCCCCAAAUUCAAAAUGCCCAAGUUCGAGAAAUACAAUGGAACAAGUUGCCCUGAAGCUCAUAUCAUUAUGUUCUGCAGGCGAAUGACGGGAUAUGUUAACAAUGACCAGCUAUUAAUCCACUACUUUCAAGAUAGUUUGGUCGGGGCGGCGUCUAAGUAGUACAACCAAUUAAGCCGCUCUAAGAUUAACUUGUGGAAGGACCUGGCCCAAGCCUUUAUGAAGCAAUACAAUCACGUGACAGACAUGACCCCUGACAGAAUCACUCUCCAGAAUAUGGAGAAGAAAUCGAAUGAAAGCUUCAGGCAGUACGUAUAAAGAUGGAGGGAGGUGGCCAUACAAGUUCAGCCGCCACUUCUAGAAAAGGAGAUAACGAUACUCUUUAUAAAUACCUUGAAGGCCCCUUUUAUCACUCAUAUGUUGGGAAGCGCCACCAAGAGCUUCUCCGACAUAGUGAUGAUGGGAGAAAUGAUCGAAAAUGCUGUAAAGAGCGGCAAGAUAGAAUCGAGAGAGAGUGCUAGGAAGUUAGCCCCGAGGAGAAAAGACAAUGAAGUGAACAACACGAGCACAUUCAACAAGGGGCAGCCCAAGUCAAUUACCGUAAAUCAACCCAAAAUGGUGACUACCAAUCAACAAAGUUCUGUAAGGCAAGAAUCCAAUGCGAGGAAGAACAUAGAAAGGCCACAAUACACCCCUAUACCCAUGUCCUAUAGAGAGUUGUACCAGAACCUGUUCAACGCUCAUGUGGUAUCCCCUUUCUACCUGGAGCCACUGCAGUCCCCGUAUUCCAAAUAGUAUGACGCGAAUGCCCAAUGUGAGUACCACGCGGGAAUCACCGGGCACUCAAUCGAAAAUUGCACUGCGUUUAAGAAAGUGGUCGAAAGACUCAUUAAGGUGGGAAUCAUGAGAUUUGAUGACCCAGCCACGCCCAAUUUAGCAGGAAACCCACUCCCUAAUCAUACCGACCAAGGAGUGAAUGGGAUAAGUGAAGGCUUGAACAAGAAGACCAAGUAUGAGGUGGCAGAAAUCAGGACCUCGUUGAAGCGGGUAUGGAAAGAGAUGACUAAGAGAGGAUUGAUAGCAUUGGAUCCAAGGGAAGAACCCGAAGAAGAGAGAAACUACUGUGAGUUUCAUGACGAGGUGGGGCAUGAAAUCCAAGAAUGUGUGGAAUUCAUGGCCCUCGUGCAGAACAUGAUAGAUAACAAAGAAAUGGAAUUCUAUGAAGAAGCUAAAAGCCUCAUAGAGGGAAAUGUAUGCGCAUCCGAGGGAGAAUCAAAGGCGUAGAAUCAAAUGCCUAAUUAUCCCGUGGUGAUCAUUUCGAGACCCAAAAAUAAUGAAGCUGGAGUAAAAAUGCCAUCGAGGGUCAUAAUCCAAAGACCUGCAGUCUUCCCUUACAAAAACAGUAAAAAGGUCCCAUGAAAUUAUGAUUGCAGUGUGACGAUGCCGGGAAAAGAGAGCCCGGUUAGCGCUUCAAUAAGGGAUCAAGAUAGAGGUUCCUAUACACAUAGCGGGAGGCGUUACGAUACAAUGAAUGAGGAGGAACAGCCCACAAAAGAAAAAGCCCAGGUGGUCAAGGAAAUGAAGGAAAAAGCAACCAAACUUGUUAAUGAGCCAGUUAACGAAGACGAGGCCAAGGAAUUUUUAAAAUUCCUAAAGCACAGCGAAUACAGUGUGGUAGAACAGCUACGUAAACAACCAGCUCGCAUUUCAGUGCUGGCCUUGCUUCUAAGCUCGGAAGUUCAUCGUAGCGCACUAAUGAAGGUCUUAAACGAGACAUAUGUUGCCAAUGAUAUCUCCGUUAACAAGCUGGACCGGUUGGUGAGCAACAUAAGUGCCGACAAUUUUAUCUUCUUUAAUGACGACGAGAUACCACCUGGGGGCAUGGGGUCGACUAAAGCUCUGCAUAUCACCACACGCUGUAAAGGGUACACGCUACUAGGUGUACUGAUUGACAAUGGAUCAGCUUUGAACGUCCUGCCAUUGACCACGCUGAACAGAUUACCUAUAGACAGCUCUCACAUGAAGGAGUGCCAGAACAUCGUGAAGGCAUUCGAUGGCACGGAAAGAAAGGUGAUGGGCAGAAUCGAGGUACCUCUCUAGAUUAGGCCAAACACAUAUGAGGUGGAUUUUCUCGUGAUGGAUAUCAAGCCCUCAUACAAUUGCUUGUUGGGGAGGCUCUGGAUACAUUUAGCUGGGGCAGUACCUUCCCCGUUGCAUCAAAAAUUGAAGCUGGUGUCGGAGGGGAGGUUGAUAACGAUUAAGGCUGAAGAAGAUAUUAUUGCAACUGUGAGCAAUAAUGCACCCUAUUUGGAGACAUAUGACGAAGCAAUCGAAUGCUCAUUUCGAUCUUUGGAAUUUGUUAACGCGACGUUCAUCACCGAGGGAAGCAAAAUUUUGGUGCCGAAAUUGUCCAAAACCACGAGGAUGAGCCUCGAGUUGACGAUUGGAAAAGGGGCCCUACCCGGAAAGGGACUUGGGAGACAUCUACAAGGAAGGAUCGAAACGCCAAUGCUGAAAGAAAAGAGAGACCGCUUCGGCUUAGGAUUUAAGCCGGAUGUGAAACAAAGGAGAAGGGAGCCAGAAAAGAAGCAAGAAAGAAGGAGAGCUCGAUUAAUGGGGGAGCAAAUCAAGUGGGAACCAAUGACAUUCCCCCAUAUAUUGAAAACAUUUGUAUCCAGGGGAAUCAUUCAUCCUGAGAGAGACACGCCAAUGAUGGGAGCUAUAAAAGAAAGUCUGGAAAGUUUGGACAUCAACGUCAUGUACGAAAAGGAGACUGGAAGGGAAAAUUUGUCGGGCAUUUGCCCCUACACGCCUGGAAGUGUUCUGGACAACUAGAUUGCGGAAGAGAUCCUUGUAGUUUUUAGAACGGAUUCAGAGUAAUGUCCAAAACACACUUAUUGCUCUAGGCCUAGGAGUGAUAAGAAUCUUUUGUGAAAUAGGCUGAUGUUUAAAAACGAUAUUUCAAUAAAAUGCACAGUUAUUAUCAUUUUUGAGCAAAUGUUCUCUCGUCCUCUUAAUUUCAUUCAUAACCAUACAAAUGAUUACUUUCGGAUUCUUUUAUUCUUGAAACAUUCUUCUAAGUAUUCUUUCAUUCGUCAUUCAUAAUCAUAUCACGCAAAUAAAUGUUUCGAAUUCUUUUGAUUCUUUGUAUCUGCCUUCGUCCUUAUAACAGGUUCCCAAAUAUUAAUGAUACGAGUGACACUGCUAGCGACUCAGAAUUUCCUUUCGAGCAAGAUGUAUGUAUGGAUGAUUCUUAGGAUUUUGAAGAUGACCAAGGCUGUAACCUAUCUCUUGAUUUGUUGAAGAUGGAGGAACAAGACGAGAAAUAAAUCCUACCUCACAAAGAAUUAAUCGAAAUUGUGAGCUUAGGAGAAGGACAAGAGGUAAAGAUCGGAAUAAGUAUCACUGCGAAAAUGAAGCGAGACCUCAUUGAAUUACUUUAAGAAUUCAAAGGUGUCUUCGCAUGGUCAUACCAAGAUAUGCCCGGGUUGGACACUGACAUCGUGGUGCAUCGACUUCCCAUAAAAGAAUAGUGUAAGCCAGUUUAGCAAAAACUCCGAAGAAUGAGGCCCGAUGUCUUGCUAAAAAUAAAGGAAGAGGUUCGAAAGCAGUUUGACGUUGGAUUUCUGAAGGUGGUAAAAUACUCAGAUUGGGUAGCCAACAUCAUCCCUGUCCCUAAGAAAGAUGGAAAAGUGCUAAUGUGUGUAGACUACAGAGAUUUGAAUAAAGCCAGCCCAAAAGACAAUUUCCCACUGCCUCAUAUCGACACCCUAGUGGACAACAUGGCGGGACAUUCACUGUUUUCAUUCAUGGAUGAUUUUUUGGGAUACAACCAGAUCAAGAUGCAUCCUGAAGAUAUGAAGAAGACCAUAUUUGUAACCAUGUAGGGCACGUUCUGUUACAAGGUGAUGCCGUUUGGAUUGAAGAAUGCGGGGACAACUUAUCAAAGAGCUAUGGUAACCUUUUUUCACGACAUGAUGCAUAAAGAAAUCGAGGUUUAUGUCGAUGACAUGAUCGUAAAGUCUCGAACAGAGAAGGAGCACAUACAAGUCUUGAGGAAAUUGUUCUUGAGGUUGAGGAAGUUCCAGCUAAAACUCAACCCAGCCAAAUGUACCUUCGGAGCUAAAUCCGGAAAGUUGCUCGGAUUCGUGGUUAGUGAGAAAGGGAUUGAGAUCGAUCUAGACAAAGUUAAAGCCAUACAAGAGUUAUCCUCGCCGCGCACUAAAAAAGAAGUUCGAGGCUUUCUAGGAAGAUUAAAUUACAUUGCUCGGUUCAUUUCACAACUGACCGAGAAAUGUGGCCCUGUCUUUCGCCUCCUCAAGAAACAUAACCCAGGUGAAUGGGAUGAAGAAUGCCAAAGGGCUUUCGACAAGGUUAAACAGUACUUAUCCAACGCCCCGGUGCUGAUGCCACCUAACCCCGAUAAGCCGUUGAUACUGUAUUUGGCAGUAUUCGAGAACUCUAUGAGAUGCAUGCUGGCUCAGCAUGAUGAGUCAGGAAGGAAAGAAAAAGCUAUUUACUAUCUCAGUAAAAAGUUUACGGAAUGUGAGACAAUGUACCCGUCGAUAGAGAAGUUGUGUUGUGCCCUAAUAUGGACAACCCGCAGGCUGAGGCAAUAUAUGUUGUAUCACACCACUUGGCUCAUAUCAAAGUUGGACCCUUUAAAGUACAUGAUGGAGUCAACAACCUUAAAUGGAAGGAUGGCCCGAUGACAGAUUCUGCUUUCUAAAUUCAACAUAGUCUAUGUGAACCAAAAAGUAAUAAAAGGAAGUGCGAUAGCAGAUUUUCUAGCCAGUAGAGCUUUGGAAGACUACGAGCCUUUGAACUUCGACUUUCCGAAUGAAGACCUAAUGUGUAUUGCUACGACUGAAGAAGGUGCUCUGGAAGAACUUCUUUGGAAACUGAACUUCGAUGGGGCAUCAAAUGCUGUGGGCAAUGGAAUCGGGGCCGUCUUGGUAUCCCCAAAACGAGAUCAUUACCCAUUCACUAGUAAAUUGGAUUUUGAUUGUACAAAAAAUAUGGUGGAAUAUGAAGCGUGCAUCAUGGGUAUCCGUGCAGCCAUAGAACGUAAGAUUAAAGUGCGAGAGGUGUAUGGAGAUUCUGCGCUAGUGAUUUAUCAACUCAAGGGAGAAUGGGAGACUAGAGACCUCAAGUUAAUCGAUUAUCGGAAGCUGGUCCUUGAGUUGAUUAAAGAGUUUGAUGACAUUACCUUCCACUACCUUCCACGAGACAAAAAUCAGAUGGCUGACGCUUUGGCUACCUUAGCCUCCAUGAUCAAGGUGAACAAACAAGAAGAUGUCAAACCCAUCCGAAUGAACAUUUAUGAAAUUCCGGCCCAUUCUUACAAUAUUGAAAAAGAUGAAGAGAAAGAUGAUCACCCUUGGUAUCACGAUAUAUUGCAAUAUGUGAAGAAUCGUGAGUACCCGGACCAGGCAAGCGAGAAUGAAAAAAGAACGCUAAGAAGAUUGGCCAUCGACUACGUCUUAGAUGGGGAUAUAUUAUACAAAAGAAGAAAGGAUCAAGUGCUACUAAGAUGUGUAGACGCUGUAGAGGCUAGGAAAAUCUUGGAAGAAGUCCAUGAAGGCGUCUGUGGGACACAUGCUAAUGGCUUUACAAUGGCCAGGCAAAUUAUGAGAUUCGGGUACUAUUGGUCCACCAUGGAAGGAGACUGUGUCAAUUACGCUAAGAGAUGUCAUAAGUGUCAAAUCUACGGAGACAAAAUUCUUGUGCCUCCUUCACCGUUGCAUGUCAUGGUUUCUUCAUGGCCAUUCUCUAUGUGGGGCAUGGAUGUGAUUAGACCAAUAUCGCCGAAAGCUACCAAUGGGCAUCGAUUCAUCUUCGUGGUUAUCGACUACUUCACCAAGUGGGUAGAAACUGCUUCGUAUGCUAGUGUGACCAAGUCGGCAGUGAGCAAGUUUCUGAAAAAGGAUAUUAUAUGUCGAUAUGGAAUGCCGGAGAGGAUUAUAUCCGACAAUGCAUUAAACUUGAACAAUAGUACGAUAGCAGAAGUCUGCAGUCAAUUCAAGAACAGACAUCACAACUCGUCACCAUAUCGCCCAAAGAUGAAUGGGGCAGUGGAAGCGGCCAAUACAAACAUUAAGAAAAUUGUGGGGAAGAUGACCAAAACCUACAGAGACUGGCAUGAGAAGUUACCAUUUGCCCUCUUCGCUUAUCGAACGUCAGUCAAAACCUCAACUGGGGCAGCCCCUUUUUCUUUGGUCUACGGAAUGGAAGCGGUGUUGCCGAUCGAGGUCGAGAUCCCGUCCCUUCGAGUGUUGUUGGAGUUAAAUUUGGAAGAAGCCGAGUGGAUCCAAUCUCGAUAUGAUCAAUUGAACCUAACGAGGAAAAAAGGUUAAAAGCUAUUCGUCAUGGUCAGAUGUACCAAAAAUGAAUGAUGCAGGCUUAUGAUAAAAAGGUUCGUCCUAGAGAAUUCCACGAGGGAGACCUGGUUUUGAAAAAGAUUCUUCCCAUACAGAAAUAUUUUCGGGGAAAAUGGAUGCCUAAUUGGGAAGGGCCUUACGUAGUGAAGAAAGCUUUCACUGGAGUAGCAUUGAUUCUAGCCGAGAUGGACGAUAGAAACUUGCCCAAUCCUGUAAACUCGGACUCGGUCAAGAAGUAUUUUACCUGAAGAAAGAGAGGCCUGAGUGAAAACCCACAAAGGGUGCUCUGAAAUCCAAAAAAAAACCCGGAGAGGCCAAGGUGAAAACCCACAAAGGGUAUUUUGGAACCAAAGGGGCUUUUGAGUUGAAAACCCAAAAACGGGCAGCUCAAAUUUUGAAUAUGGGGCAUAUGGCGGUCUUGUCCUUCCAAAAUCAACAAGACAGAAGAACAUUACACCUUGGAGCAUCAACAAAAUACGCGGGAUCUCCUGAACACACAUUUGGUUCGAAUGAACCUUUGAGAAAUUAGAAUAGUGAAACUCGUGCUGCGAUAUCUGGGGCAUCUUUUUCUCAUUUUUCGCACCUUACCAGAUUCAUUAUCCUAUGUAUUCACAUCAAAAUUUGCUUAAUAAAAUGACAUUUGUCCAUUAUGAUAAUCUCUUUCGAGCAGUUUUGUCGAAAUCGCGAUUUUUGAACAUGUAAUAUCUACAUAAAAGAUGUUAUGCAUAUUACUCUGGAAAAGUCUCUAAAUAGUACAAGGACCUGAAACAGGGCCACUAGUCAGAACUAACCAGGUUCAAAGUUGGAAAAUAUUGGAAAAAGAGAAAUCCAAAUUAGGACUAUUUCUUCAAAUUUUCUGGCAGAGAUAACGGCUAAGUAAGAAAACGUGAUAGCACAUCAAUGAUGGAACCCGGACGAAUCAUGAGCAAUGAUACCUUAAACGUUUGAAGAGGAAUUAUUCUCAUAGCACUUCUACAUUCAUAAUCAUUCAUUUAGUUAGGAGCACUUGAUUCAUUUCGAUCAUAGCAUUCUAAUUAUCUGACAUAAACACCACAUCUAGUUAGGGACAUUUGAUUCAUCUCGAUCAUAGUAUCCUAAUUACUUGAUACAGGAAACCAAUUCUACAAAUCAUGUCUUUGGAAGACAGUGUAGUGACAUUGGCGAAUCCUACAGAUCCUGCUUCCCUGAAGUUGCAGUGGAGCAGAUCGAAGACGACAAAUCUUGACUUCCUGAAGUUGCAGUGAAGUAGAUUUAAGUCACUAACCUAGCUCCCUAAAGUUGUAGUGGAGUAGGUUGAGAUUUUAGAUCCUACUUCCCUGAAGUUACAGUGGAGCAGAUCAAAAACGACGAAUCCUGACUUCCUGAAGUUGCAGUGAAGCAGAUUUAAGUCACUAACCUUGUUCCCUAAAGUUGUAGUGGAGUAGGUUAAAAUUUUAGAUCUCGUUUCCCUGAAGUUGCAGUGGAGUAAAUCAAAGACAACGAAUCUUGACUUCCUGAAGUUGCAGCAAAGCAGAUUUAAGUCACUAACCUAGCUCCCUAAAGUUGUAGUGGAGUAGGUUGAAAUUUUCGAUCUCGUUUCCCUGAAGUUGCAGUGGAGCAGAUCGAAGACGGCGAAUCUGAGCUUCUUGAAGUUGCAGUGAAGCAGAUUUAAGCCACUAACCUAGCUCCCUAGAGUUGUAGUAGAGUAGGUUGAAAUUUUAGAUCUCGUUUCCCUGAAGUUGCAGUGGAGCAGAUCGAAGACGGCGAAUCUGAGCUUCCUGAAGUUGCAGUGAAGUAGAUUUAAGCCACCAACCCAGCUCCCUAAAGUUGUAGUGGAGUAGGUUGAAAUUUUAGAUUUUGUUUCCCUGAAGUUGCAGUGAAACAGAUCGAAGACGGUGAAUCUUGACUUCUUGAAAUUGCAAUGAAGUAGAUUUAAGCCACCAUCCUAGCUCCCUAAAGUUGUAGCGGAGUAGGUUGAAGAUUGUAGAUCUUGUCUCCCUGAAGUUGCAGUGGAGCAUAUUGAAGCUACUUGAAGAAAAAAAGUACCAAGAAGUCGAGGCUCAGCAGGUCCUGGCAAAUUUGGCCCAUUUAUAGUCUUUACUUUAUUCUCGUUACACGACAAUAUGCAAAGAAGGGCAGCUGUAGUGGGCCAAAUUUGCCCGGUCCGAAUAAAAAUAAUAAAUGAUAUAAAAAUCUAGAUAUCAAUAGUCCAUUAUCUGUCCAAUUACAACCCAAAAUCAAACCAAAUUAACCCUAAUGUUUCAAGACACAAAUUACAAGUCCAUUUACAAAAUGACAUAGCCCAAUACCCCAAACGGCCCAGAAACUGAGCCCCAUUUUGGCAAACCCUAGGGCAAGGGUCUCCUUGUGCCGCAGCCCUCACUAGUGGCCAAACCACAUUGCGCCAGACAACGCCUCCAACAGCACCAGUGCACAGCCCUCGUACGCCACGCCCGUACCUCCGUACGAUGCAGGCAGACUCCGUACCUGCGAAAAAGGCACAUAGAACAGCAGCGAAUGGGGAAGAAGAAAAUAGCAUUUUCAUUUUUUGAUUUUUCUUUCUUUUCGACUAUAAAGGCCAUGUAAUAGCCUAGGUGAGUUUUUUACGCAACAUAAACGCACAAUAGGCCAUACAGACACAAUCAAUACAUUUUGAAAUACAAAAAAGCAACGAGCAUUCGAAGGUGAUUCCGAUUCAUAAUUUCUGAGAUUUUUUCCUUUUCUUCUUGGCUUAGUUUCAUUCUCCCUGGAAUUUCUUUUUAUUCUUUCGCAUUUUGGGUUGUAUAAAAGAGAGAGGAAAUGAAAUCUUACCCCGUGAAUACGCUGUGAGAUCUCCACUGAUUCGUUGAAAUCGGGGUCCGAGGGGAGUAUAAGGCGGAAAGAAAACCAUCUUGAGGCUCGAACAGGCUGAUCUCCGUUCAUUGCGGUGGAUUGGCAUGGCAGAUGGAGGGUCAAGGUUCGUUUGAGGGGAGUAAAAAUGGAGGCUAGG
rnacentral:lncRNA from 1 species